UUAGGAGAUUAGUUGUGUGGAGAGGAGAUUAGCUUUGUGGAGAGAAGAUUGAAGCUGUGUGGAGAUUGUUAACAAGCUGUGCGAACGGGGAUAUUUUUUUGGGUGGAUUACUCCUCUUAUGCAGCAAGGAUACAAAAGACCUAUUACUGAAAAGGAUGUUUGGAAGUUAGAUACAUGGGAUCAGACUGAAACAUUAAGGACAAAGUUUUUGCAAUGCUGGAUGGAAGAAUCUCAAAAGGAGAAACCAUGGCUAUUAUGUGCUUUAAAUAGUAGUCUUGGAAGAAGGUUUUGGUUGGGUGGAUUUUUCAAAGUAAGGCUAAGUUGUUUAGUGUCAAUUUAGAACUUCAAAUCCAUUUAAUCGAAAUUCAUCUGCUCUCACUAUCUCCGACCUAAACUUCUAAAAGCAUACCACACAUUACCAGGUACUUUCAUUUACUUGCAUCAUAAAGUCUCCUAUAUCCCUUUACGACAACUUAGUACUCAAGAUAAUUCAAGUGCCAUAGAUUAAAUUAUGUCAUAUCUUUUGUCAAAAACGGGUUUCCUUGGUAUAAUGUAGGCUCCAGGAUUAUUGAAUUUGAUUACUUGGCUGAUUGACGACUCCUUUGAGUUAACUUUAAGGCACAUAUAUUGGGAAGAGAUUCCUAAAAACUGAACUUUCAAGUGAUUUUUGAUAGUAUACUAAACUUGGAUGAUCCAGAUGAAGCUAAUGUUUGGUAAACAAGAUAAAGUCGUGAAUGAUCACACCAGAAAAUGUGGCUUUUGAUAUUUAUAU